ACCCCACUCCAGGGUCUCCCAACAGAGUCAGUUGGGAAGGCCAGCCAUGGCUCCAAUGGAGUUGGUAGGCUAGGCCAGGCAGUGGCUGGAGACUGGCUGUGCAGGAUAACCACAACCAGGGCAAUAGGGGCAUCUGCAGAGUGCAUGUACCUUCCCCCUCAAAAAAAAAAUAUAUAUAUAUAUUUUCCUGUGAUACAGGUCACUGGGAUGCUGCAGGGCAAACACUAUCCCUACUAAGAAACAGGCUGUCCUCCCUGCACUGGGGCUCAAGGUCAACAGCAGUCCCAAGCGCACCUGGAACAUGUCCUUCAUUCCCUCACCUUUGAGCAGGUGCCUCUGAAGAAAGGAGGGAGGGUCCACUCCCCAUUCCCACUUGCCCGUUCCUUUCAGUGCAGGCAGAAACCCAGAGCCCUGGUCCUGCCAAGCCCGUAAUGGAGCUUCUCAGGAACAGACAGGGAAAGAGACACAGCUGUGCAUUGGGUGUGAGGGGAUGCUAAGAGGCAAAGACUAUUUAAGCAGGGGGGAACAGCCAGUGACUGAAGGGUGAGUCCUGGGGAAGACCUUGUUUGCUGGGCUGCCCAUUUCUGGCAUCGUUCUUGGAGCCGUUUAUCUUGACCAAUGUCCACGACAGCCUCUCGUUCCUAUCUACUUAAUGCUUCUAAGCAUUGUUGUGCUCCUCCUUCUCGGCCUCAGCUGCGUUCCGUGUGGGACUGGCACAGAUCAGCAAAGCGCCUUGACCCGCCACCUCCGGGCCGUCACCCUUCUCUUCCUCUGUGCCUGGUUCAUUGCAGGCAGCGUGUGGGUCUACUCCAUUUAUCCCCCUGACUACGAGUCUGUUGGACAGCCGAGCUUCUGCCACCGCACCCUCUUCCUUUUCGCCUUUGGGGUCACUACCACCCUUCAUGUGGCUUUGGCACUGGCACUUCUGCUUGCCCUCAGCAUCCUUGUGGGCAUCUUCAUUUUCAAGGCUGUCUUACCCUAUGGUGGACAUGGCAGUCGUGGGGGCCCAUAGCAGCUAAUGUGCAACAUGGGUGGGUAGUCGUUGGCGGUGUUUUUUUGUUGGUUUUUUUUCUUUUUUGGUACUGAUGCUGGGGCAUUUUGUCAAUAAAGUGGAUUGUGCUGCACGGAAUGUUCCA
rnacentral:lncRNA from 1 species